rnacentral:tRNA from 1 species
GGUUCCAUGACAUUCAGCUCAGUUGGCUAGAGCGUGGUGCUGAUAAUGUCAGGGUUGUGGGUUUGAUCCCCAUAUGGGCCC